UAUAGUUAUGGUUUAUUAGUAAUAUCUUUUUUUGGUUUAUUGACUUCCAAAUGAAGGUGGAGUAAAAAUUAAUGCUAUUAAUUAUUUUUUACUUCAUUGCUUUUUUUGGAAACCAACUUAUCAAAAUAGUCUUAGUCCCUAAUCUUUUUUGUUGGUGAAAUCAUUUCAACAACUAAACUUUUUUUUUAUGUUGUCAUAGUCAAUUGUUCAUUUACCUUUGAUGAUGAGUAGAUGAACUUUCUUGACCAAAAAAAAAAAGCAGUUGAACUGAAAAGUCACUGUUCAAUAUAAUCUAAGCAAAGCAGGCAACACUC
rnacentral:lncRNA from 1 species